rnacentral:rRNA from 1 species
GACAGAGGAGCCAAGCGUUGUCCGGACUGACUGGGCGUAAAGCGCACGCAGGCGGCGCUGUGCGUGGGGUGUGAAAGCUCUUGGCUUAACUGAGAGAGGCCAUCCCAUACGGCAGCGCUCGAGCGGUGCAGAGGUCCGCGGAAUUGCCGGUGUAGUGGUGAAAUGCGUAGAGAUCGGGAGGAACACCAGUGGCGAAAGCGGCCUCCUGGACUGUACCUGACGCUGAGACACGAAAGCUAGGGGAGCGAACGGG